CAAAAGUCUAUGGAAAAAAGGAUGCACUGAUUGUUUCUGCUUUGUUUCUAUGCACAUGAUAUUGUCAUCUCACGGCUUGCUAAAAAAGUAUAAAGAACCUGCUGAGUCUCUCGGCAGAAGAUACUUGCACCUCAUCCAGUGUCAGUGUCUCCUCACUGCCUCAUCCCCUUCCCCUCAGUCCUUUUCGCUGCACCUAGACCGUCUUUUCCUUUCAAGGACUUCAGACCUGACAUUUUGCUGAAAGCUGGUCUGCGGCAAUCCCCCAUUCCACAUGGCUCCUUAGAGGGAGCAAAGAAUAAAGUUUUGCCUUACCCUAGGCCUUAGCCUUCCUUUACCUUGUCAAUAAGAUGUUCUCAAGGCAUGGUCCUGUUUUGAGAAGGCAGUGGGUGGGGCGUUCUGAGCUCGGGUGCCUGAGUGUCUUAGGAGGCCUGUCUUUAGGAUAAUGCCAGGUUUGGGAUGAGCUAGCCACCCGGAUGGUGGAGGUUUCCAUUUUCGUAAUAUUUUAAUGUUAUUUAGAUAUCCAAGGGCUCCAGGAAGCUUCUAGGGAGCAGGAAAUGUCCUCUUGGUCUUGGUCAGCGGGGCAGUGGUUAUCAGGUUUAUAAAACGUAAAAACCAAUUUUCAUGCACUUGAUUAUAAAUAAGAUAUAUUUCAGUUUAAAGCGUUAUUAAAAACAUAUACCUUUAAAAUGUUCAGUGCCAGGGAUAAAACCUCACACUGUUCUCCUCAUGACUUUGGACUGUCACUGCAAAAACAUUGACUUCUCCUAAGAGAAAAUUAGAACUUAGAGAAGAAAUGGAUAUUUAAUUGCAAGAUAUUUUGAUCGGAGACAGUUAUUUCCAUUUAGGACAUGACUUCCAUGACCGUCCUUGGACAACCUGCUGACCAUGCUGCAGGCCACUCUUGGCUGGAGCCUGCAGCCUGCAUGGGGCAGUCCCGAUGCCAGUGCACAUGGCGGGGAGCCUAGCGGCAGCUGGCUUUUGCUCUCCUCCCCACCCAUGCACCCUGGGCUCUUGAAACAGAAGAGGGUGCUCUCCAGACCACGGACCAGCCAUCAGUCUUGGAUUCUGAAAAAAUCCUACUCU